GACAAGCUACUCAAUUGGUUACAUCCUCUUCUUCCAGGUUCCUAUAGCAUUCUGUACUUCCCAGUGUGUAACUCUCAACCCAACUGCAACUACUUUUUCAAUGACUCUUCUGGACUAGACUAUAAGCUCCUUGAACAAGGCAGACACUGCGCUUGCCUGAUUCACUACUAUAUUGCCAGGCAUAAGAGUUGCUAAAUAAAAAUGUGUUCGAUUGUACUAUUAUAAAACUGAUGUUGCUAAAAUGAUCAUUAUGAUGUUAUGUCACAUAUUUAAUAUCAUAUUGUGGUAUCAACGUAAACUCAUUAGUAAGCAGAACUAAAGACUUUAAGUCAAAGGAAACAAUGAAUGAAUGAAAAUUAAUGUUCUGAAGAAAACAUGGAUUUUUACCACCACUCCUACCAACAAAAAUCUAUUCAACUCUAUUCAAAGAUCCAGGUUUGCUAUCCAGAUACCUCUAAAAGAAGAAAAUACAGCAGUCUUAAGAAGAAUGCAUAUUUCCUCACGUUGUCAGCUUGACAUAUUCAGGACAGAAUCUCUCCUUCAGUGCUUAACAUUUUGAUUCAUAGACUGAGGUCUCAGAAGCUAAAAAAAUGGAAAUAUGUCAUCUAAAUGUCAGCACUGAUUUUAUGAUAUUCCAGAAGGAAGCAAAUGGGAACUCAUGAGAGCUUAGGUGUCCUGUCUGAGAGUUCAGUGCACAGUGUCUUGGAAGAACCUGAGUAGAGUGUGUGUGAUAUCUUGGAAGGAUUGGAAAUUGGAGUAAUGAUCAUUUAUCUUGGUAAAAAGCCCUUAGCUUCUGUGUUAUUCACAGUUCUCCAGAGAGCAGACCAAUGGGAAAUAUAUCUAUAUCGAUAUAUGCAUAUAAAAUAAGAAAUUAGCUCAUGUGAUUAUGGAGGCUGAGAAAUCCCACGACGUGCCAUCUACAAGUUGGACUAGACUCUAAGCUCCUUGAACAAGGCAGACUAGGAAAGCUGGUGGUGUACUUCCAGUAUGAGCCCGAAGGCCUGAGAACUAGAGGAGCCAAUGGUGUAACUCCCAGUCUGAGUGCAGUAGAUGAUCAGAAGAGAUGUCCCAGCUCCAGCAGUGAGGGAGAAAAGAAGGACAAAUUCCUUCCUCUGCAUAUUGUUCUAUUCAGACCCUCAAUAGGUUAAAUGAUGCCCACUCUCAUUAAAGAGGACCAUCUACUUUACGGAACUGCUAAGUUUGACAUACAAAGAACCAAUGGGAUACAUUGCUGAUGAAGGAGAAGGAGGUCUAAUCACUUUGGAAAACAAUUUGAAAUUCAACUGUGCAGAGAAAAUGACUGGUUCAGGCCACUCACAGUGGGUCACUCUUGGAAUCCCUUGCUGAGUUGGG
rnacentral:lncRNA from 1 species